UUCCUCUCAGCCACCCUGCAUCCAUCCAUUUCCCACCCCAACCUGCAAAAGGUAACCACUGGCUGGGCCCGGUGGCUCACACCUGUAAUCCCAGCAACUUGGGAGGCCAAGAAUCAGAAAUCUGAGCGUAGGAAGAAGUGGGUUAGCCCUGGAGAAAGGAAAAGGAGGAUCAUAGUUCUCUGCAAAGAGCUGGAAGCUAAAAAGCAGGCUGUGUUUACUUACCAACCAGGACACAGUGGGAUCUUUGCCAGCUUCCAAUAUGGCCUUAAAAGUAUAUGAAAUCCAAGAAAUAUUUCUGCAAAGCAAGAGAUCUUCACUGCUUUAUUUUCCACCACCUGAAUCCUUGCAGUGAGUGUAGUGUGUAUCUAAUCAAUCUAUUAAAAAAUACUUCAAAAGUUCUA
rnacentral:antisense_RNA from 1 species